GAUGAACGCUGGCGGCGUGCCUAACACAUGCAAGUCGAACGGAGUCCAGCCUUUAAGACCUUCGGGUCAAAGAGGGGAAGACUGAGUGGCGGACGGGUGAGUAACACGUGGGCAACCUGGCUCAUAGAGGGGGAUAACAGAGAGAAAUUUCUGCUAAUACCGCAUAAGCACACACUGCCGCAUGGCAGAGGGUGAAAAGAGAAUCGCUAUGAGAUGGACCCGCGUCUGAUUAGCCAGUUGGCAGGGUAAGAGCCUACCAAAGCGACGAUCAGUAGCCGAUCUGAGAGGAUGAACGGCCACAUUGGGACUGAGACACGGCCCAAACUCCUACGGGAGGCAGCAGUGGGGGAUAUUGCACAAUGGGGGGAACCCUGAUGCAGCGACGCCGCGUGAGUGAAGAAGUAUUUCGGUAUGUAAAGCUCUAUCAGCAGGGAAGUUAAUGACAGUACCUGAAUAAGAAGCCCCGGCUAACUACGUG
rnacentral:rRNA from 1 species